rnacentral:lncRNA from 1 species
AGAUCUGCUUGUAGAGCGCUUGCCCUGGAGAAGGUCUUCAGUGAACAGCAGCGAGCAUCAUGACUGCUCUCAGAACUACACUUUAACCAGUCACACGGGUCUUUCAGUUCAUGGAGAUGCUGUGUUUAGCAAGAACUUUGUAAAAUCUCUUAACUUUUAGAAACGAGUGUAAUAGCUCAGGGCAGAAGAUCUGCAUGGUAAGAGAGGGAGAUGCUGGCGGAUGUCACAAUAUCCCCUCAGGUGGUUUUUAUUGUGCUUUCUCUGUUUUCAGUCGAGCCCAAUGAACGUUUCUAAGUUUAGUUGUUGGGAAGUAAGAGUGUAGGUCAGGAGGUGGGCGUCUUCCCCCCGCGGGCAGCAUGCACAUCUCUCCACCUCACUGCGCCCUCGGGAGGUCUGUGCCUCUGGAGGCCUGUGCCUUCUCCCCUUUUUGCCUGAAAAUGGGAACUCCAGAAGUGUUUGCUGAAGAAAUGCAGGAAGAGCCCAGGGUACAAAUACCAAAGUGUGUGUAUCAAUGCAGGAGCAGGCAGGAGUGAACGAAGAAGGCCAGUAAAUCAAAGCAGAGCUAAGGAAGAUGCGCGCGGGCUGGAGAAGCCCAGGCCAUGGUAAGUACUGAGGGAGCAGCUAACUUAAUAAUAGUAAUAAUAGUAAUAGUAAUAAUAACAAGCAGUGUGUUGUGUUUGUGUACUUACCUUUUCAGAGUAUUUCUUAAAAAUGUUCUUUUAUCCUAAAAAUGAUGAUUUGUAUUUUAUAGGGUAGAUAUUAUUCCACCCACUUAAAAGAUGAAGAAAUUAAGGCUUAGAGACAUUAAGUACCUUCUUUUUGGUUACACGGGUACUAAUUCAGGCUUGGGAACGAAAAGCUCUUAUUCCAAACCAGCAGGCUUUCUGUGGUUCUCCAGGAUAGAAAGCUUUGCUGACAUCACGAUGUGGGCUGGAUUCCCCGCCACGCUGAACCUGACGGCAUUGCUGCUCUUCACCCAACAGGUUUUGCUAUGCCCUGAUCUGGGGAAGAGGAAGAUGUAG